ACCGGGCCUCCAGAUGGGCGCAUGCUCCACGGUGCUGGCGGACGUGAGGAGGGGCCUGUCCCGCUCCCGCUCCCGCUCCCGGUCUCUGUCCCGCUCCCGCUCAGACGAGGACACGGCCGUGGCUUUUGUCAAGUGUGUGGGGCCUCCUAGGGGACCAAAGCAGACACUGGGCGGGCUGCACAGCGGCAGGCACGAGGGCGGGCCCCGGGGACGGCUGUCUACCUGGGGACAGCGGGGAGCUGCUGUGGCGGCUGCCAAAGGGCUGGGGUGCGGUGGGGAGGUAGGCGAGGCGGUCCAUGGCCGGGGCAGGGGUGCCGGGCGUCGGGGGCACCAGCACAGGCAGGUGUGGCACUUGGGACAGGUCAAUGAUGCCUGGGGAGGACAGGAAGCUGGAGCCGGGCAGAGGAGGCCUGGCUGCUGCCCCUGGACAGGCCACUGGACAGAGAGCACCCAGGCCCAGGGCAGGCCCCUCUCCCAAGCUCCGCCCGCCCACGUCUACCUGCCCAGGGACCACACCCUCGGAGCAGCUGCUGGGUCUCCUCAGUCUACAGUCGGCCCGCGCAGUCCUGCAGGGGCCCACGGUGCCCGGCCCCUGCUGGUGCCAGGCUGUCCACAGCUGUCUAGGCCCCCGAGCACUCCGCGCGCAGCAGCCCCAGCUGCGGGUGCCGGGCGUCACACACUGUGUGUGGAUAGCCAGGACAGGUGUGCUGCUCAGAGACCCAGGACUUGCCGCCCCCACCCACCUCGUGGGCCGGUGGCGUAGUUGAGCGCCAGGGAGGACUCAGCGGGGGUGACAGGCCGCGGAGCAUGUCGGCACGCUGGGCCAUGGCGGUGGCGGCGUUGUGGUGCAUUUGCUGCGAGGUGAUGUAGUCAUUGAUGAUGGUCUGGCGGUUCUCCAGGGCCGCUGUGUCGGGGGUAGCCGCUGGAUGAGGUAUGGUGGGUACAGGUGCUCGUAGGGGGAGAUGGGGUGCGGGUGGAGCUCGGGCACCACGCUGUGUGGGGACUUGGCGACCUCACGGGCGUGGACGUCAGCUUCCGGUCCUGCGGCGUCUUGCUGGUCAGGAGGUUGGCUGCAGGGACAGCGGUGGGUGGGCUCAG
rnacentral:lncRNA from 1 species